rnacentral:rRNA from 1 species
CCAUUCCCGACACGGGGAGGUAGUGACGAAAAAUAACAAUACAGGACUCUAACGAGUCCCUGUAAUUGGAAUGAGUACAUUCUAAACCCUUUAACGAGUAUCCAUUGGAGGGCAAGUCUGGUGCCAGCAGCCGCGGUAAUUCCAGCUCCAACAGUGUAUGCUAAAGUUGUUGCGGUUGAAAAGCUCGUAGUUGGAUCUUGGGUGGGUGCAGCCGGUCCGUCGCAAGGCGUGCACUGGCUGCGCUCGCCUCGCCUUCGGUUCUCCGUCGGUGCUCUUGACUGAGUGUCGGCGGUGGCCGAUAAGUUUACUUUGAAAAAAUUAGAGUGUUCAAAGCAGGCUGCUCGCCUGAAUAGUGUUGCAUGGAAUAAUGGAAUAGGACCUCGGUUCUAUUUUGUUGGUUUUCGGAGCGCGAGGUAAUGAUUAAGAGGGACAGACGGGGGCGUCCGUACUCUGCCGUUAGAGGUGAAAUUCUUGGAUCGGCGGAAGACGAACUACUGCGAAAGCAUUCGCCAAGAAUGUUUUCUUUAAUCAAGAGCGAAAGUCAGAGGUUCGAAGACGAUCAGAUACCGUCCUAGUUCUGACUAUAAACGAUGCCAACUAGCGAUCGGGAGGCGUUACCAUGACGACCUUCCCGGCAGCUUCCGGGAAACCAAAGUCUUUCGGUUCCGGGGGAAGUAUGGUUGCAAAGCUGAAACUUAAAGGAAUUGACGGAAGGGCACCACCAGGAGUGGAGCCUGCGGCUUAAUUUGACUCAACACGGGGAAACUCACCCGGCCCGGACACAGGUAGGAU